rnacentral:misc_RNA from 1 species
CGGGCGUCCUCACAAAUUACCUGCAUUCAGAGAUUCAUACCGGCACAGGUCGGUAUGCGAAGUCCCUUUUGGGGCCUUAGCUCAGCUGGGAGAGCACCUGCUUUGCAAGCAGGGGGUCGUCGGUUCGAUCCCGACAGGCUCCACCAUAUUGAGUGAAAAGACUUCGGGUCUGUAGCUCAGGUGGUUAGAGCGCACCCCUGAUAAGGGUGAGGUCGGUAGUUCGAGUCUACCCAGACCCACCACUCUGAAUGUAGUGCACACUUAAGAAUUUAUAUGGAUCAGCGUUGAGGCUGAUACAUGUUCUUUUAUAACUUGUGACGUAGCGAGCGUUUGAGAUAUCUAUCUAAACGUGUCGUUGAGGCUAAGGCGGGGACUUCGAGUCCCUAAAUAAUUGAGUCGUAUGUUCGCGUUGGUGGCUUUGUACCCCACACAACACGGCAUGUAGCUCCGAGGCAACUUGGGGUUAUAUGGUCAAGCGAAUAAGCGCACACGGUGGAUGCCUAGGCGGUCAGAGGCGAUGAAGGACGUGGUAGCCUGCGAAAAGUGUCGGGGAGCUG